rnacentral:SRP_RNA from 1 species
GCUGGGCAUGGUGGCGGGUGCCUGUAAUCCCAGCUACUCGGGAGGCUGAGGCAGGAGAAUCGCUUGAACCAGGGAGUUGGAAGUUGCAGUGAGCUGACAUUGUGCCACUGCACUCCAGCCUGGCAACACAGCGAGACUCUGUCUCAA